UACGAAGGUGGCAAGCGUUACUCGGAAUUACUAGGCGUAAAGGGCAGGUAGGUGGUUUGAUAAGUCUGUUGUGAAAGCUCCCGGCUCAACUGGGAGAGGCCAACGGAUACUAUCAGGCUUGAGUAUAGGAGAGGUUACUGGAAUUCCCGGUGUAGCGGUGAAAUGCGCAGAGAUCGGGAAGAACACCGGUGGCGAAAGCGCUCUGCUGGGCCGCAACUGACACUCAGGGACGAAAGCUAGGGGAGCGAAUGGG
rnacentral:rRNA from 1 species